GACGAACGCUGGCGGCGUGCUUAACACAUGCAAGUCGAACGGAAAGGCCCUGCUUUUGUGGGGUGCUCGAGUGGCGAACGGGUGAGUAACACGUGAGUAACCUGCCCUUGACUUUGGGAUAACUUCAGGAAACUGGGGCUAAUACCGGAUAGGAGCUCCUGCUGCAUGGUGGGGGUUGGAAAGUUUCGGCGGUUGGGGAUGGACUCGCGGCUUAUCAGCUUGUUGGUGGGGUAGUGGCUUACCAAGGCUUUGACGGGUAGCCGGCCUGAGAGGGUGACCGGCCACAUUGGGACUGAGAUACGGCCCAGACUCCUACGGGAGGCAGCAGUGGGGAAUAUUGCACAAUGGGCGGAAGCCUGAUGCAGCAACGCCGCGUGCGGGAUGACGGCCUUCGGGUUGUAAACCGCUUUCGCCUGUGACGAAGCGUGAGUGACGGUAAUGGGUAAAGAAGCACCGGCUAACUACGUGCCAGCAGCCGCGGUGAUACGUAGGGUGCGAGCGUUGUCCGGAUUUAUUGGGCGUAAAGGGCUCGUAGGUGGUUGAUCGCGUCGGAAGUGUAAUCUUGGGGCUUAACCCUGAGCGUGCUUUCGAUACGGGUUGACUUGAGGAAGGUAGGGGAGAAUGGAAUUCCUGGUGGAGCGGUGGAAUGCGCAGAUAUCAGGAGGAACACCAGUGGCGAAGGCGGUUCUCUGGGCCUUUCCUGACGCUGAGGAGCGAAAGCGUGGGGAGCGAACAGGCUUAGAUACCCUGGUAGUCCACGCUGUAAACGGUGGGUACUAGGUGUGGGGUCCAUUCCACGGGUUCCGUGCCGUAGCUAACGCUUUAAGUACCCCGCCUGGGGAGUACGGCCGCAAGGCUAAAACUCAAAGGAAUUGACGGGGCCCCGCACAAGCGGCGGAGCAUGCGGAUUAAUUCGAUGCAACGCGUAGAACCUUACCUGGGUUUGACAUGGAUCGGGAGUGCUCAGAGAUGGGUGUGCCUCUUUUGGGGUCGGUUCACAGGUGGUGCAUGGCUGUCGUCAGCUCGUGUCGUGAGAUGUUGGGUUAAGUCCCGCAACGAGCGCAACCCUUGUUCACUGUUGCCAGCACGUUAUGGUGGGGACUCAGUGGAGACCGCCGGGGUCAACUCGGAGGAAGGUGGGGAUGACGUCAAGUCAUCAUGCCCCUUAUGUCCAGGGCUUCACGCAUGCUACAAUGGCUGGUACAGAGAGUGGCGAGCCUGCGAGGGUGAGCGAAUCUCGGAAAGCCGGUCUCAGUUCGGAUUGGGGUCUGCAACUCGACCUCAUGAAGUCGGAGUCGCUAGUAAUCGCAGAUCAGCAACGCUGCGGUGAAUACGUUCCCGGG
rnacentral:rRNA from 1 species